AGGAACGUUGAAGACUACGACGUUGAUAGGCCUGGUGUGUAAGCUCAGCGAUGCGAUGAGCUAACCGGUACUAAUGAACCGUGAGGCUUAACCUUACAACGCCGAAG
rnacentral:rRNA from 1 species